ACUGGGCUCUCUGCCAGCUGCUCGCCUUUCCCCCUCCGGGAUUGUCUGCACUCGGGGCGCUAACGAGUUCCAUCUGGGCGCCCCGCGGUUCCUCAGGGCUGUCCGUCUUCAGAGCCACGUCCUUCCCCAGCCCGUUCUCCGAGAGCCGUUCUCCCCCGAGCCUUUGCAGUCUUAGGCGUUCGCCCUCCUUGGGCCGCCUCCCACGAACCCUGUCUUCACCAAGAACCGGAGCGAACACAGCUCCGGCCCCAGAGCCCUCGGGAAGUGUCUCCAGAGUAUUAUUCUCUUCUGCGCCCGCCCGCUAAGCUUGUCCCAUUCAAGGCCUUUAGGCGUCCUCUGAGACCUCAGGACAUCAGAGGCCUCUCCUCGGAUUGUCGUCCCGCCGGCCGCCACAGCUGCUGCCUGCCGUCUUGGGCAUUUCUUCCAUACUCCAUCUGCUCAUGCUUUCCUCGGAAUGGGACGUUUGCCGGGGGUUUGUCUGGGGCUGGGCCCAGAAGCCCAUCAGGUUGAGUCCAAGUCCCAGUGUGUGGCCCUGAGGCAGCCUGCCUUCUAGUCGCCUGGAGUAGGAGGAUGGAUUAUUUAAUUUCUUCCCUUCUGGAGGAUGGCAUGAAAAAGCAGGGAGCUAGGAGACAUGACCUUUAUCUGGGCCAUUCUCACCUUUUAGCAUAGGGAUUUGGGGUUGCUGUAUCUUAACUAUCAGGCUGCAAGUUUUUUUUCUUUGAGACGGAGUCUCACUCUGUCGCCUAGGCUGGAGUGUGAUGGCGCGAUCUCGGCUCACUGCAAGCUCCGCCUCCCGGGUUCAAGCGAUUCUCCUGCCUCAGCCUCCCGAGUAGCUGGGACUACAGGUGCGCGCCACCACGCCCAGCUAAUUUUUGUAUUUUUAGUAGAGAUGGGGUUUCACCAUGUUGGCUAGCAUGGUCUCGAUCUCUUGACCUCGUGAUCCAGCCGCCUCGGCCUCUUAAAGUGUUGGGAUUACAGGCGUGAGCCACCGCACCCCGCCCAGACUGCAAAUUCUUGAAGAGCAACAUCUGCAGCGGAUUGACCCUUGUGUCCCAGCCAGAGACCUAGCGGAGUGUACCGUCAGCAUGGAAUCAACAUCAGACCAGUGCCAUCAUUGUCUCAGUGCCAGUCCUCAGUGGCUGCAAGGCCUGGGCCGCCCCUUCUUCCUGUGACUGUUCCUAUCUGUAGGCAUGCCAUCCCACAGGCGCCUAGCACUUGGAAGGCAUUCCUUCAAUAAAUGUCGGUGGAGUCUGGAAAGAAGGUGCUGAGGUUGGGGGUGAGCAAAGAGCAACCGUCUCCAUCCCAGCUCUGUCUCCGGUUAAGCAGUGGGGAAGGUCUCAGCUGUAUUGAUGCUGAAACACUUGGGCCAUGCCACUGGCAAAGGACUUGAGGCCUCUAAGGGCCAAGUAGGAAUCGAUAGUUGACUCUUCCCCUGGCAGUUCAGCAUACUGGUUGAAGAGCCAGGUUUGCAAACAGACCUGGGUUCCAAUUCUAGCUCUGCACCUUCCUAGUUGUAGGAACUUAGGCAAGAUAAUUUUUUGAAACUUCAGCAUCUUUGUGGAGAUAACCAGUCUAUUAUUAAACUACCCUAUAGUUAUUGCAAGGAUUACGCAAAGCUGAAUGUCUAAAGGUGCUCAACACAGGGCCUGCCACUCACUCCAUGCAUGGGCAACAGGGGCUCUCUUUGCUGUGUCUUAUGAAAUGUAGCAUGCACAGCAGUCAGCAACCACUUGGGCCCAAUUAUGUAUCAUCCCUGGGGCACAGAACCUCCC
rnacentral:lncRNA from 1 species